UCCAUCCCGAACUUCUCGCAUUAAUAUCGCUUUCCCAGACCGUGGUGCUUAUAAGCAAAUCGGUGGAUCGGGGAGGCGACGGCGCCGCGAUCCAUCAGCGACUCAGGAGGCUGCAGCGUUCACCAGUGGCGGCGAUGGCAUGCCUGUCAAGGCGAUGGGCCGAGCGCGGCCGCGGCGUCUGCCGGAGGACGACAACAGCGAUCCAUCGGCAAUCCUGUGCGCGCGGCCGUGCGUCAACGGUGUGGAGAUGUCUGCCCGUGUCGCCGUUCGGCGAUAUUUUCCAAGGUGGUGGACGGCGGAGUAACAUCACGGCGCAACGGGAAGAUGGCUUUGUUCAGAAAUUUUCGUUGCCUCGAUGGAUAGUUAAUCUGUCUGUAGCAGUAGUUUGAGAAUCCGGAAUAUUUCUCAGAGAAACAAAUCUUUGUGAUUCUCGUUGGUAUUCAACUUUUUUAUUUUUAAAUUAUGGGCGGGGUAUGUGUAUGAAUUAAAUAGCGUAUAUUUCUAGUAUUCUGAUUUUGAUUGUACAUUAUUUUUAAUCAGCAUACGCUUCAAUCCGAGUCUAAAUUAUAACAGCUCA